rnacentral:rRNA from 2 species
AGGUGCGAUCAUACCAGCACUAAUGCACCGAAUCCCAUCAGAACUACAUAGUCAAGCGUGCUUCGACAAGAGUAGUACUAGGAUGGGUUAUCUCCUAGGAAGUCCUCGUGUUGCACCUC